GACGAACGCUGGCGGCGUGCUUAACACAUGCAAGUCGAACGGAAAGGCCCCGCCUUUGUGGGGUGCUCGAGUGGCGAACGGGUGAGUAACACGUGAGUAACCUGCCCUUGACUUUGGGAUAACUUCAGGAAACUGGGGCUAAUACCGGAUAGGAGCUCCUGCUGCAUGGUGGGGGUUGGAAAGUUUCGGCGGUUGGGGAUGGACUCGCGGCUUAUCAGCUUGUUGGUGGGGUAGUGGCUUACCAAGGCGUUGACGGGUAGCCGGCCUGAGAGGGUGACCGGCCACAUUGGGACUGAGAUACGGCCCAGACUCCUACGGGAGGCAGCAGUGGGGAAUAUUGCACAAUGGGCGGAAGCCUGAUGCAGCAACGCCGCGUGCGGGAUGACGGCCUUCGGGUUGUAAACCGCUUUCGCCUGUGACGAAGCGUGAGUGACGGUAAUUGGUAAAGAAGCACCGGCUAACUACGUG
rnacentral:rRNA from 1 species